rnacentral:lncRNA from 1 species
GCAUUAUGCUUACAGAAAAUUCUCAAGGAAAAGUAUUGUAAGCAAUAGUUGGUAGCUGUUGGAUUGGGCUCUGAAGGAAAGAAUGGAGAGAUUCAGCCAGUUAGCAUGAAAGUUGGAGAUAAAGUUGUACUCACAAAAUGUGGAGGACUAAAGUAAUUCUAAAUGAUAGAGAUUUUCUUAUUUAGACAUUCUUGGAAAGUAUAUAGACUGA